rnacentral:rRNA from 1 species
GAUGAACGCUGGCGGCGUGCCUAAUACAUGCAAGUCGAGCGAACGGACGAGAAGCUUGCUUCUCUGAUGUUAGCGGCGGACGGGUGAGUAACACGUGGAUAACCUACCUAUAAGACUGGGAUAACUUCGGGAAACCGGAGCUAAUACCGGAUGAUAUUUUGAACCGCAUGGUUCAAAAGUGAAAGACGGUCUUGCUGCCACUUAUAGAUGGAUCCGCGCUGCAUUAGCUAGUUGGUAAGGUAACGGCUUACCAAGGCAACGAUGCAUAGCCGACCUGAGAGGGUGAUCGGCCACACUGGAACUGAGACACGGUCCAGACUCCUACGGGAGGCAGCAGUAGGGAAUCUUCCGCAAUGGGCGAAAGCCUGACGGAGCAACGCCGCGUGAGUGAUGAAGGUCUUCGGAUCGUAAAACUCUGUUAUUAGGGAAGAACAUAUGUGUAAGUAACUGUGCACAUCUUGACGGUACCUAAUCAGAAAGCCACGGCUAACUACGUG